rnacentral:lncRNA from 1 species
AAAAGACAUUCACUGAGGGCAAGAACAUAAAGAAGGUGGAGGUAGUAAACAUGUUAAUCAGCUCUCAAUCCUGACCAUAACCUGGAAGAUUGGUGUAACAUGACAACAUAAUAACAAACAAUAAAGAUCCGUUUUAUAUAGAUGGACUCACAUAAUUGAGUCGUGAAGUUUUGUCAUCAUCAUCAAAAUCAAAAAUAGAUGAACAACCUUUAGUCCAGAAGAAGUUUAAUUAGUUUGAUAACCUGCAAUUUCUAAAAUAUAGGCAGGGUAUGUUGUUUUUGUUCACAUGAUAGUUGUUUAUAUACUUCGUUCUUUAUGUGAUGAGUCCAUCUAUAUCAAACUGAACUUUAUUGUUUGUUAUUAUGUUGUCAUGUUACACCAAUCU